rnacentral:rRNA from 1 species
AUACGGAGGGUGCAAGCGUUAAUCGGAAUUACUGGGCGUAAAGCGCGCGUAGGCGGAUAUUUAAGUCUCAUGUGAAAGCCCUGGGCUCAACCUGGGAACUGCAUGGGAUACUGGGUAUCUAGAAUACAGUAGAGGGUAGUGGAAUUUCAGGUGUAGCGGUGAAAUGCGUAGAGAUCAGAAGGAACAUCAGUGGCGAAGGCGACUACCUGGACUGAUAUUGACGCUGAGGUGCGAAAGCGUGGGGAGCAAACGGGAUUAGAAACCCCAGUAGUCC